rnacentral:rRNA from 1 species
AUUGAACGCUGGCGGCAGGCUUAACACAUGCAAGUCGAGCGGAGAUGAGGUGCUUGCACCUUAUCUUAGCGGCGGACGGGUGAGUAAUGCUUAGGAAUCUGCCUAUUAGUGGGGGACAACAUUCCGAAAGGAAUGCUAAUACCGCAUACGCCCUACGGGGGAAAGCAGGGGAUCUUCGGACCUUGCGCUAAUAGAUGAGCCUAAGUCGGAUUAGCUAGUUGGUGGGGUAAAGGCCUACCAAGGCGACGAUCUGUAGCGGGUCUGAGAGGAUGAUCCGCCACACUGGGACUGAGACACGGUCCAGACUCCGACGGGAGGCAGCAGUGGGGAAUAUUGGACAAUGGGGGAAACCCUGAUCCAGCGACGCCGCGUGGGUGAAGAAGGCCUGCGGGUUGUAAAGCCCUUUCGGUAGGGACGAAAGCUCUCGACCUAACACGUCGGGAGGUUGACUUAACCUACAAAAGAAGCACCGGCUAACUCUGUGCCAGCCGCCGCGGUAAUAC